UACAGAGGGGGCAAGCGUUGUUCGGAAUUACUGGGCGUAAAGGGCGCGUAGGCGGCCUGUUAAGUCGAACGUGAAAUCCCCGGGCUCAACCCCGGGAACUGCGUCCGAUACUGGCAGGCUUGAAUCCGGGAGAGGGAUGCGGAAUUCCAGGUGUAGCGGUGAAAUGCGUAGAUAUCUGGAGGAACACCGGUGGCGAAGGCGGCAUCCUGGACCGGCAUUGACGCUGAGGCGCGAAAGCCAGGGGGAGCAAACGGGG
rnacentral:rRNA from 1 species